CAAGACGUAGCUAUAACAUAAAGCACUCAGCUUACACCUGAGAGAUAUCUGCUAGCCUACAGAUCGUCUUGA
rnacentral:tRNA from 1 species